UCUGUUUCGAAGGAGUGAGAUUAGAUCUGGAGUUUAAAUAUUAUCAUUUAUUUAAAAAAGAGAGGGAGAAAAUAGCUUCAUGACUGAUCACAGUUGAGCUGUAGAACUCAGUAGUUGCAGUAUGAAUGCAGAAUGCUGAUAAAAGAAAAAAGCGUAUUCUCUGCUCGCGCGCAGCACAGUCCGGCCCGGUGCGUGGGGUGGGGUGGGAGUGGGCUCGUUCCACUUUAUGAAUGGAUGGGUGUGGCGCCACAGACUAUAACGAGGCUGUCGUCACGGCGCGUGAUGACAGACCGCAGCGUGCUGUCGGUGAAGGAUGGUCCUGAGUGAAACAUCUCCGCAGCUCCGCCAGCAUCUCCAUCACACACCGAGGGAGAGGACAGAGACAGGUCAAACUUCUUCGAGGAGAACAUUUGCUCAAUGGGGAGAAGCGAGAGAAGCGCGCAGCUCAGAGUGAACUGAGGAGGAAGAGGAGCAGCUGGGGAGGUGUCAGCUGAAGUAGACAGGAAAGAAACAAGACGAGAGAGAGAGAGAGAUCUGAAGUGAACACUGACUGUUAAAGACUUUUUCUGUGGGAAUAAAGAAAACAAGAUUGUUUAAAGGGAUAGUUCAAAUCAUUUAAAGAAGGGGUCUUUGGAAAGGUAAUAAACAAUAUCUUACUUGUAGAUAGCUCUUUGAAUGCACAAAUUUAACUGUUGUCUUAAUACAUUUCAAUUCAAAUCCAAAAAUACUUUAUUGAUCCCAGAGGGACAUUAGGUAAAUCUAAUAUUUAAAACUUCCAAGCAGUUCAUACAAAUAUUGUUUCAUAAACCUGUAUGUUUUUGGAUUACAUUGUUAUUUGGGAUGAUUUUCCCCCACAAAUGACCCCAGCUGCAUGGUGAACUGAUGGUGAAGUAAAGGUUUAUUUGUAGACUGAAGUUGUUUGGUCUUGGCCCUUCGCUGACUAUCCAUGAGCUCAUUGGUUUAAUCAGAAUUAAACUUUUUUUUUUAAA